CUGUACGAGUUUGAUCCUGGCUCAGGACAACGCUGGCGGCAGGCCUAACACAUGCAAGUCGAGCGCCCCGCAAGGGGAGCGGCGGACGGGUGAGUAACGCGUGGGAACGUACCCUUUGCUACGGAAUAGCCUCGGGAAACUGGGAGUAAUACCGUAUGUGCCCUUCGGGGGAAAGAUUUAUCGGCAAAGGAUCGGGCCCGCGUUGGAUUAGGUAGUUGGUGGGGUAAUGGCCUACCAAGCCGACGAUCCAUAGCUGGUUUGAGAGGAUGAUCAGCCACACUGGGACUGAGACACGGCCCAGACUCCUACGGGAGGCAGCAGUGGGGAAUCUUAGACAAUGGGCGCAAGCCUGAUCUAGCCAUGCCGCGUGAGCGAUGAAGGCCUUAGGGUUGUAAAGCUCUUUCAGUGGGGAAGAUAAUGACUGUACCCACAGAAGAAGCCCCGGCUAACUCCGUG
rnacentral:rRNA from 1 species